rnacentral:rRNA from 1 species
CCUACGGGUGGCAGCAGUGAGGAAUAUUGGUCAAUGGACGAGAGUCUGAACCAGCCAAGUAGCGUGAAGGAUGACUGCCCUAUGGGUUGUAAACUUCUUUUAUAUGGGAAUAAAAUGUUCCACGUGUGGGAUUUUGUAUGUACCAUAUGAAUAAGGAUCGGCUAACUCCGUGCCAGCAGCCGCGGUAAUACGGAGGAUCCGAGCGUUAUCCGGAUUUAUUGGGUUUAAAGGGAGCGUAGGUGGAUUGUUAAGUCAGUUGUGAAAGUUUGCGGCUCAACCGUAAAAUUGCAGUUGAAACUGGCAGUCUUGAGUACAGUAGAGGUGGGCGGAAUUCGUGGUGUAGCGGUGAAAUGCUUAGAUAUCACGAAGAACUCAGAUUGCGAAGGCAGCUUACUGGACUGCAACUGACACUGAGGCUCGAAAGUGUGGGUAUCAAACAGGAUUAGAUACCCCUGUAGUC